rnacentral:rRNA from 1 species
UGGGGAAUAUUGGACAAUGGGCGCAAGCCUGAUCCAGCCAUGCCGCGUGAGUGAUGAAGGCCUUAGGGUUGUAAAGCUCUUUUGGCAGGGACGAUAAUGACUGUACCUGCAGAAUAAGCCCCGGCCAACUUCGUGCCAGCAGCCGCGGUAAUACGAAGGGGGCUAGCGUUGCUCGGAAUCACUGGGCGUAAAGCGCACGUAGGCGGGUCGUUAAGUCGGGGGUGAAAUCCUGGAGCUCAACUCCAGAACUGCCUUCGAUACUGGCGAUCUUGGAGUCCGGGAGAGGUGGGUGGAACUGCGAGUGUAGAGGUGAAAUUCGUAGAUAUUCGCAAGAACACCAGUGGCGAAGGCGGCUCACUGGCCCGGUACUGACGCUGAGGUGCGAAAGCGUGGGGAGCAAACAGGAUUAGAUACCCCCGUAGUCC